rnacentral:lncRNA from 10 species
UAGUGAGCUGAAAUCAUGCCACUGAACUCCAGCCUGGGUGACAGAGGGAGACUGUUUCAAAAAAAAAAAAAAAAAAAAACCAAGGAAGGGCUGGGAGAGCCCAGAAUCGUGCAGCCUCAGGGAAAGGACCUACUUUACACAUUUUAUCUGGUUUGGUUCUGAGAAGGAAACCUGGAACCCUGCAUUGUAGGUUUCACUUCUUAUUUAACAGAUGAAAGGUUCAAAUUCAAUGAAGGUGGGGAGAGCUGUGCUUGCCCCCACAGUAGGAGCAGCCUGUGGUUAGGUGAGGGAAGGACAGGAUAACAGAAAGGGCUUUCUAGAGAAUCAGUUGCGAAGCAGGGCCAUGGAAAUUCCUUCUAUCCCUCUUAACUUAGUGUCAACAAAAAGUCUCAGUGCAGACAAACCCACUGAACUUAAUUUGGGAGAAAAAGCCAUGGAGAAGACCCUUUAGAAUGCACUUCCAAACUAGAAACCAAACGGGGUGCCUGCAAGGGGGUCGUUCUCCUUGUCUUUAGAAAAAGGGAAUCGAGAAGAACCUUUAGAAUGAACCUCCGAACUACAAUUAGGAUCCUAAACAACCUCUUCCUAGGAGAAAAAAAAAAAAAAGCAACAGCUCACAAUAAACCAAGGACCAUCAACCAAACGAGAGGUCCAGGGCUCAGGAGGACUUACUAGGAGGAGAAGCUGAAAGUCGGUAUUUCUCAUGGCUUUAACAGUGGACUUCAGGAGUCAUGGUUAAGUAACAGGUGUGGGGCAGGUAACUGACCAAACCUCUCCUCUGAGCCUCCAUUUUCUUACCUGUAGAGUGAGGAUACUUACCUCCCUCCUAGGGCUGUCAGGAUUAAAUGAGAUGGCAGGUAAAGACCUUAGCACAGUGCCUGGCGCAUGGUAACUGCUCUGUCCAUUUUGUCACUAUAAGCUCUUCUGGUUUAUUGUAAAGUAUAUAAUGCAACCCAAGUGAAGCAAAAUUCCAUGAAUAAAAAAAGUCAUCUCAUUAUAGCUUGCCUCAAAUUAUAAAAUCUCUAAUAAAAAUGAAGGUAUGUAGUUAGUGGCAGAAGUUUGUCUACAACUAGAUCUGUCCAGUGCUCAAUACUCUCUACUAUGUCACAAACUUCAGGACAGGGUUAAGAGGGAGACAAGGUACUGCCUGGAAGGGGAAUACCUUCUGGGGUCCUGGUAAGCG